UUGCAAGAAAACACAUAGCCUUCAUUUAGCAAUGCUGCAAUUCAUGCAAUGCAUGAUCAUAUAAAUGACCCAGAAAGGAAAUCUUAAAAAUUGAAACAGAAACUCAAACCAAUUGCAUUUGAGGUUUUAGGCCAAAAGAUCAAAGAUCAAGAUCACAAAACCAUUCGAACUCAAAUUCCAUUAAAAAAAAAACAAAACAAAACAAAAGAGAAAAUCUGGAUCAUUCACAACCUAAUUCUUGUGGUCAAACAGAAAGUCACCAUUUAACAAAGAUGCAAUUCCAGCAACCAUGAUCCGAUUGAAGACAGAAUAAAUAAGUAGAAGCCAAAACACAACUCAAACCAAUUGCGAUUUUGAGGUUUCAGGCAAAACGAUCAUAUGUGUGUGUGUGUGUAAAUUCAAAAUCAACAAAGCAGAAAUAGAAUUAGAAGAAGUAAAGAAAAAAAGGAGGAAGAAAAACUCAAUCACUCACAAACGACAGAUUUUUUGCAAUUCAAGCAACCUUUAAUCCUCCAAAUAAACCCACUGAAAAAAACCUUAAAAAUCAAAACCC